UACGAAGGGGGCUAGCGUUGCUCGGAAUGACUGGGCGUAAAGGGCGCGUAGGCGGAUGGCUUUGUCGGGCGUGAAAUUCCAGGGCUCAACCCCGGAACUGCCCUUGAAACUGGAGAGCUAGAAUCUUGGAGAGGCGAGUGGAAUUCCGAGUGUAGAGGUGAAAUUCGUAGAUAUCAGGAGGAACACCGGUGGCGAAAGCGGCUCACUGGCCCGAUACUGACGCUCAUGUUCGAAAGCGUGGGGAGCAAACAGG
rnacentral:rRNA from 1 species